rnacentral:rRNA from 1 species
AAGGCCAAUCAAACCGGGAGAUAGCUGGUUCUCCCCGAAAGCUAUUUAGGUAGCGCCUCGUGAAUUCAUCUCCGGGGGUAGAGCACUGUUUCGGCAAGGGGGUCAUCCCGACUUACCAACCCGAUGCAAACUGCGAAUACCGGAGAAUGUUAUCACGGGAGACACACGGCGGGUGCUAACGUCCGUCGUGAAGAGGGAAACAACCCAGACCGCCAGCUAAGGUCCCAAAGUCAUGGUUAAGUGGGAAACGAUGUGGGAAGGCCCAGACAGCCAGGAUGUUGGCUUAGAAGCAGCCAUCAUUUAAAGAAAGCGUAAUAGCUCACUGGUCGAGUCGGCCUGCGCGGAAGAUGUAACGGGGCUAAACCAUGCACCGAAGCUGCGGCAGCGACGCUUAUGCGUUGUUGGGUAGGGGAGCGUUCUGUAAGCCUGUGAAGGUGUACUGUGAGGUACGCUGGAGGUAUCAGAAGUGCGAAUGCUGACAUAAGUAACGAUAAAGCGGGUGAAAAGCCCGCUCGCCGGAAGACCAAGGGUUCCUGUCCAACGUUAAUCGGGGCAGGGUGAGUCGACCCCUAAGGCGAGGCCGAAAGGCGUAGUCGAUGGGAAACAGGUUAAUAUUCCUGUACUUGGUGUUACUGCGAAGGGGGGACGGAGAAGGCUAUGUUGGCCGGGCGACGGUUGUCCCGGUUUAAGCGUGUAGGCUGGUUUUCCAGGCAAAUCCGGAAAAUCAAGGCUGAGGCGUGAUGACGAGGCACUACGGUGCUGAAGCAACAAAUGCCCUGCUUCCAGGAAAAGCCUCUAAGCAUCAGGUAACAUCAAAUCGUACCCCAAACCGACACAGGUGGUCAGGUAGAGAAUACCAAGGCGCUUGAGAGAACUCGGGUGAAGGAACUAGGCAAAAUGGUGCCG